GACGAACGCUGGCGGCGUGCUUAACACAUGCAAGUCGAACGAAGAGCGAUGGAAGCUUGCUUCUAUCAAUCUUAGUGGCGAACGGGUGAGUAACGCGUAAUCAACCUGCCCUUCAGAGGGGGACAACAGUUGGAAACGACUGCUAAUACCGCAUACGAUCUAAUCUCGGCAUCGAGGAUAGAUGAAAGGUGGCCUCUACAUGUAAGCUAUCACUGAAGGAGGGGAUUGCGUCUGAUUAGCUAGUUGGAGGGGUAACGGCCCACCAAGGCGAUGAUCAGUAGCCGGUCUGAGAGGAUGAACGGCCACAUUGGGACUGAGACACGGCCCAGACUCCUACGGGAGGCAGCAGUGGGGAAUCUUCCGCAAUGGACGAAAGUCUGACGGAGCAACGCCGCGUGAGUGAUGACGGCCUUCGGGUUGUAAAGCUCUGUUAAUCGGGACGAAAGGCCUUCUUGCGAAUAGUGAGGAGGAUUGACGGUACCGGAAUAGAAAGCCACGGCUAACUACGUG
rnacentral:rRNA from 1 species